AUUGAACGCUGGCGGCAGGCCUAACACAUGCAAGUCGAACGAGUGGCGGACGGGUGAGUAAUGUAUGGGAAACUGCCCAUUGGAGGGGGAUAACUACUGGAAACGGUGGCUAAUACCGCAUACCAUCGGAUUGGCCCAGAUGGGAUUAGCUAGUAGGUGGGGUAAAGGCUCACCAAGGCGACGAUCCCUAUCUGUUCUGAGAGGAUGACCAGCCACCCGGGAACGGAUGAACGGUCCAGACUCCUACGGGAGGCAGCCGUGGGGAAUAUUGGACAAUGGGCGAAAGCCGUCUGCAGCCCUGCCGGGGUUGUGAAGAAGGCCUUCGGGUUGUAAAGUACUUUUAGCGGGGAGACGUUACCCGACGAAAAAGCGCCGGCUAACUACGUGCCAGCAGCCGCGGUAAUAC
rnacentral:rRNA from 1 species